rnacentral:lncRNA from 1 species
GCCAGUGGAGAUGCUGCCUACUGCAGUGUGGAGAAUGGAUUGGAGGGGUCAGAAUGAAUGUAGAGAGAAUUCAAAGGCUCCUGCAGGAGUCCAAGCAAGAGGAUUGCAGAUUGUAGCCUGGAAGAGGCCAGUAGCUGUGGUGACAAUGGACACCAGGUGGAUAUGUUGGAGAGACACUUAGAAGGGUCUCACUCUGUCACCCAGACUGGAGUACACUGGUGUGAUCUCGGCUCACUGCAACCUCCGCCUCCCAGGCUCAAGUGAUUCUCCUGCCUCAGCCUCUCGAGUAGCUGGAAUUACAAGCAUGUGCCACUACCACCCUGCUAAUUUUUGUAUUUUUAGUAGAGAUGCGGUUUCACCAUGUUGGCCAGGCUGGCCUUGAACUCAUGACCUUAAAUGAUCCACCCGCCUCAGCCUCCCAAGUGCUGGGAUUUUAGGUGUGAGCCACUCGCCUGGCAGGUGAUUAUUUAAAAGCAGAAGUAGUAUAAUCAUAUUUUUUUGUAAAUAGCUUUUUAAAAAUGGAUGGGAAAUAAUAUUUGGAAGUGGAGUUGUUGAACUACCUCUGUGAACAGCAUACUCUCUCUAAUUGUUCAUUGGGUUGAGGGUGGUGAGAGGGAAGAAAUUGCAAAAGUUGCUUUGCUAGUGUUUAUUAGCACGUUGUGCACGUGUAUCCUAAAACUUAAAGUAUAAUAAUAAUAAAAUUUUAAAAAAAGGUUUUAAAAAAAAAGAAAAUUUCAGCUUAAUCCAUUGCCUGUAUGUUACAUGCGUUUCAUUUACCUUUGCUGUACUGUAUAUAUUGUGUAUAUACUGAACAAAUGAGUCCUAAUUUUAUAAUAUUUAGUCGAGUCUCUAGAGAGUAAAAAGGUUGCCAAUGUAUGACAGAAAGAGUUAGUAAACUAGCAUAAGUUGUAUGCUUUGUUAAAAUUCACAGAAAGACUGUCUUCUGAAAAGGACUUUUGGGAGUGAAAUAACAUCAGCUCUAAGUGACUCAUGUGCCUAUAUCCACCUGGUUGGUGGUGAAGAGGAGUUGAAAGGAAUGAAGGAUUCUAGGACAGAAGGUUCCUAUUGAGAAGACACUUUCGGCUAUAACCACUGUUACGUGUGUGUAAUUUAUUCAACACUACUGUGUAUAUAACGGACAAACAAAUCAUAUUUAAAACAUCAUCUAGUCUUUUUAGAUGUUUAGAAGUGCACAAAGUAUGUUAAAAGUAGAGGUAAAUAACACAUUUUGUAGAUAUCCUUUUGAUGUGAAAUAUUGUCUUUUGGAAAUUGAGCAAACCAAUUCCCUGAGCCGUACACAUUAUUAUAUCUGUGUCAGUUUGGGGAGGAAGGAGGAGCAGAAAGUACAAAGGGCUUUUCACCAGUGUGUUUAUGGUGAGGCACAUUGACUAUUAUCUUUUUUUUUUUUUUUUUGAGACGACGUCUCGCUCUGUCACCAAGCUGGGGUGCAGUGGCGCAAUCUUGGCUCUCUGCAACCUCUGCCUCCUGUAUUCAAGCGAUUCUCCUGCCUCAGCCUCCAGAGUACCUGGGACUACAGGUGUGCACCACCACACCCAGCUAAUUUUUGUAUUUUUAGUAGAGAAGGAGUUUCACCAUGUUUGCCAGGAUGGUCUUGAUCUAAGUCUGCAUUUUCUUUGUGCUGUGUAGAUAGCGUACAUAAGAGGACAAACCAAUCCUAAUCUAUAUCAUCUAGUCUUUGUAGAUGUUAGAGAGGUCCAGUGCGUGACAAAAGUAGAUUUAGUGAAUUAAAACACUGAGUACGUUUUGUGUUAAAAUUCAUAGGGAAGACUGUUGUUAAAAACAUAGAAGUGGGCAGGGCACGGUGGCUCACGCCUGUAAUCCCAGCACUUUGGGAGGCUGAGGUGGGCAGAUCACUUGUGGUCAGGAGUUCAAGACCAGCCUGACCAAUAUGAUGAAAUCCUGUGUCUACUAAAAAUACAAAAAUUAGCUGGGCAUGGCAGCGGGCACCUGUAAUCCCAGGUACUUGGGAGGCUGAGGCAGGAGAAUUGCUUGAACCCUGGAGGCAGAGGUUGUUAGAAUCCUUUCUACACAAUACAUUUGGCUUAUAGCUGUCCACAGGGUGGACAGAGGUUGGAACGGGAAGGGUUCUAGGCCAAAAUGUUCAGGGGAGGGGUGCUAGGCCAGAAUGUUCGUAUUUAGAAGACACUUUCAAAUUACAGUCUAUGUUAUGUAUAUGCACCAUUUAUUCAAUGCUACUAUGUAUAUAGUGGAAAACCUAAGUCCUCUUUGAAACAUCUAGUCUUUCUAAAUGUUUAAAAGUGCACAACAUAGGUUAGAAGUAGAGGGCUAAAGUGACACCCUUUAAGCAUUUUCUUUAUUACUUUUUAGGAGUGUUUGCAUUUGGAAAUGGAAUGGUUAAACUUGAUGCUUUGGACUGUUCAUAGGGUGAUGGUGGGUGUAGGAGGAGGAAGUAUGCAAAGGGAAGGGUUCUGUGCCCAAGAGUUAGAUUAGUUCACAUGAUCUAACCAUUGUUCUAUAUGCAUUUUAGUUAAUAGUGUUUUGUUUUUUAUUUUUGAUGGAGUUUUGCUCUUGUUGCCCAGGUUGGAGUGCAAUGGUGUGAUCUAGGCUCACUGCAACCUCUGCCUCCUGGGUUCAAGUGGUUCUCCUGCCUCAGCCUCCUGAGUAGCUAGGAUUAUAGGCACACACCACCACACCUGGCUAAUUUUUUUGGUAAUUUUUAGUAGAUUCGGUGUUUCACCAUGUUGGCCGGGCUUGUCUUGAACUCCUGACCUCAGGUGAUCCACCCACCUCAGCCUCCCAAAGUGCUGGGAUUACAGGUGUGAGCCACCGCACCUGGCCAAUAGUGGGUAUUAAAAGAUAAACAAGUCUUAAUGCUCAAAGUAUGUUAAAAAUAGAUGUAGUAAAACAAUCCGUCUACAAAUGUUCUUUUGUUAUAUUUUAGGAGGCCUGUCUUCUGGGAGUGACCUUUGUUAUUCCACCUCUUGGAGCUAGGCAUAGUCCUAUACCUAGUCACUGGGAUGGUGGAAGAGGGAGAAAAGGAAGGAUGAAGGAAAGAGCUAUUUGCUAGUAUCUCCACAUCUAGAAGAUGGUUUUAGAUGAUAACCAUAGGUCUACAUGAGCAUUUUUAGUAAAGUGCUUGUGUGUAAUUCUGGACAAAGUUUAUUAUUUUGCACUAUCUAAGCUUUAUGAAUGUCCUGGGGUGAUAAUGUGUGAUAAAAAGUAGAACUAGUGAAUUAGCCAAUUUGUAAAUUUUUUCUUGUUAUAAUUUAUAGAAAAGAUGCAACUUGGACAUGGAACUGUUAAACCAUCUCUGAGCUUUGUAUGCCAGGACUUGUUCAUUAGGUUGGCAGCAGAGCAGCAAAAGGAAGUAUAAAGAGAGAGAUGUAUGCAGAUGUGUCGAUAUUUACAUUUUGAUGAUAGCCAUUGUUGUAUGUGCAUCUCUUUUAGCUGUACUAUAGGAAUACAUUAGGUAUUUCAAUGAAAACAUACCUUGCUAAUAUUUGAAUAGUAUAGAUCUGCUAAUGGAUUCUCUUAGAAACAUUAUACUUAGUGUAUUCUAUUGCUGUAUAUUUCAUUUUAAAGUGAGCACUAAAGGAAUGCGGUAUUUUAAUAAAAACUCUGCCAACGCUUUUACUUAGAGGCGUGUUGCCAAUUUUUGUCUUUUAUGAAAAUUUGGCCCAAGAAAGGCAGGAUUACAUUGUUUUUCCAACAGAUUGAGUGGGUGUAGUGUAUUCUUGAUGAUCAAAAUACUCAUAUAGCUUUGAGAUUUUGAAUUGGUAAAUACUCAAGAUGUGUGAAAAAGCAUGAUACAUACUAUAUGAUCUCAGUCCCAUAAAAUUGACUAUUGUAUCUACACCCACACAGGACCUAGAAGGACAUGUUAAACUGUAAACUGCUUGUGAUUGUGGAUGACCUUUUUCGUUGCUUCUUGUGUUUUUCAGUUUCCUAUAAUGCACAUAGUAACUUAAAAAAAUAAAGAUUAUUUUUGAAACCUAAAAAAAAGAGGUUACAGAAUUGAAUACUCCCUGAGAUAAGGUAAAAUCAUCUUAUGCUAACGGUUGCAAGAUAAUGGUAUAAGUAAGCUUUCGUCGUACAUAUCAAUGAACUUUAAGAUUUGGAAGACAAAAUUCAGUUUAUGUAUUCAAUUAAAUGUGCUCAGAUUGUAUUGUGCUAGAUAGGCACAUUAUUCUAACAUAAUAUGAAUGAAUCAAUAAAAUCCUUAUAAUACUGAUG